GGCCCGGUGGCGGAUGGUCCGCACCUGCAAACUGUAUGUGGUAGUUUUUCACGUAAGCAGGAUACGCUCGUUCGAUUCGAGCCCGGGCCA